rnacentral:rRNA from 1 species
AGUGAACGCUGGCGGUAGGCCUAACACAUGCAAGUCGAACGGCAGCACAGUAAGAGCUUGCUCUUACGGGUGGCGAGUGGCGGACGGGUGAGGAAUACAUCGGAAUCUACUUUUUCGUGGGGGAUAACGUAGGGAAACUUACGCUAAUACCGCAUACGACCUACGGGUGAAAGCAGGGGAUCUUCGGACCUUGCGCGAUUGAAUGAGCCGAUGUUGGAUUAGCUAGUUGGCGGGGUAAAGGCCCACCAAGGCGACGAUCCGUAGCUGGUCUGAGAGGAUGAUCAGCCACACUGGAACUGAGAAACGGUCCAGACUCCUACGGGAGGCAGCAGUGGGGAAUAUUGGACAAUGGGCGCAAGCCUGAUCCAGCAAUACCGCGUGGGUGAAGAAGGCCUUCGGGUUGUAAAGCCCUUUUGUUGGGAAAGAAAAGCAGCAGGUUAAUACCCCGCUGUUCUGACGGUACCCAAAGAAUAAGCACCGGCUAACUUCGUG